rnacentral:rRNA from 1 species
UACGGAGGGAGCUAGCGUUGUUCGGAAUUACUGGGCGUAAAGCGCGCGUAGGCGGCUUUGUAAGUUAGAGGUGAAAGCCCGGAGCUCAACUCCGGAACUGCCUUUAAAACUGCAUCGCUUGAAUCAUGGAGAGGUGAGUGGAAUUCCGAGUGUAGAGGUGAAAUUCGUAGAUAUUCGGAAGAACACCAGUGGCGAAGGCGACUCACUGGACAUGUAUUGACGCUGAGGUACGAAAGCGUGGGGAGCAAACAGG